AAAAGAGUAACAACAUACCAAACAAAAGAAACCAUCUGAAGAAGAACUAUGGGGACUGAAAGCACAAAAAUUACAGUAGUCUCUGAUGAUUCAGCCUGACCACCCUGCUGAUGGUUCAGCCUGAUGUCCCUGUCCUUUCUGACCUGCUAUUGGGAGAAUCUCCCCCUAACUACUCAUGCCACAGUCCUGUGAAGAAAGCCUUCUUGAGAAAUCCUCCAUCUCCCAUUCAUCUGAUUGAGCCUUCAUCCCAGUACUGAGC